rnacentral:rRNA from 1 species
UACGUAGGGUGCAAGCGUUGUCCGGAAUUAUUGGGCGUAAUGAGCUUGUAGGCGGUUUGUCGCGUCUGCUGUGAAAUUUCGGGGCUCAACCCCGAACUUGCAGUGGGUACGGGCAGACUAGAGUGUGGUAGGGGAGACUGGAAUUCCUGGUGUAGCGGUGAAAUGCGCAGAUAUCAGGAGGAACACCGAUGGCGAAGGCAGGUCUCUGGGCCACUACUGGCGCUGAGAAGCGAAAGCAUGGGGAGCGAACAGG